rnacentral:rRNA from 1 species
GACGAACGCUGGCGGCGUGCUUAACACAUGCAAGUCGAACGGUAAGGCCCUUCGGGGUACACGAGUGGCGAACGGGUGAGUAACACGUGGGUGAUCUGCCCUGCACUUCGGGAUAAGCCUGGGAAACUGGGUCUAAUACCGGAUAGGACCAUGGACUUCACGGUUUGUGGUGGAAAGCUUUUGCGGUGUGGGAUGGGCCCGCGGCCUAUCAGCUUGUUGGUGGGGUAAUGGCCUACCAAGGCGACGACGGGUAGCCGGGCCUGAGAGGGUGUCCGGCCACACUGGGACUGAGAUACGGCCCAGACUCCUACGGGAGGCAGCAGUGGGGAAUAUUGCACAAUGGGCGCAAGCCUGAUGCAGCGACGCCGCGUGAGGGAUGACGGCC